AAUCCAUGUUGUAGGCAGUGUCAAAUCAAAUCUUUAUACCUUUCCCAUGCUUUAUAAAGUGACUUAUAAUCAUUUUUAUUGAGUUGACCAAUCUCACUCCUGAGUUG